CCCCCUCGGACCUCAUGUAGAGAGCAAAGACUAGUGGAGGCGGGACGCUGGAGCCCCCGGGGCUGUUCUGCAGAGUCACGGAGAGCGUCUGAGAGAGAACCCGUCAGCUCCAUCUUGGAAGGAGGAUGGACUCCCCCUCUUCCGGGUGGAGCAGGGCAGAUCCGUGGUGACUGCAGGCCCUGCCCGCCAGCGAUGGAUCCUCAGCACCUUCUCUGCGGGCCGCUCACGACGAGACCCUCCGCUCUGCGUCCAUCCUCACGCAGCUCUCCUGAGAACACGACGGGGGAGCUGGGUGGAGAGCUGCUCCCAUUUCCCCAGGUAUGGAGACUUGAAGGGGAAUAAAAUCAGUUUGCGUUGGGGUUGAGGGGGCAGCAGGUCUGGUGUUCCCUCCCUGAAGCCGAUGCAUCUUAAUGGAAAAGGACGGACAUCACUCCCCAAACCUACUUCCUACCCCAUCAGCAGCAAAUGCAAGGAUCUCCUCACUGUAAACGUAAGUGACCCGCGGCGGUGAGGUCUGCCUUCUUCACACCUGCUCUCCAGACCCUAGA